rnacentral:rRNA from 1 species
GCGAUACAGGGUGACAGCCCCGUACACAAAAAUGCACAUGCUGUGAGCUCGAUGAGUAGGGCGGGACACGUGGUAUCCUGUCUGAAUAUGGGGGGACCAUCCUCCAAGGCUAAAUACUCCUGACUGACCGAUAGUGAACCAGUACCGUGAGGGAAAGGCGAAAAGAACCCCGGCGAGGGGAGUGAAAAAGAACCUGAAACCGUGUACGUACAAGCAGUGGGAGCACGCUUAGGCGUGUGACUGCGUACCUUUUGUAUAAUGGGUCAGCGACUUAUAUUCUGUAGCAAGGUUAACCGAAUAGGGGAGCCGAAGGGAAACCGAGUCUUAACUGGGCGUUAAGUUGCAGGGUAUAGACCCGAAACCCGGUGAUCUAGCCAUGGGCAGGUUGAAGGUUGGGUAACACUAACUGGAGGACCGAACCGACUAAUGUUGAAAAAUUAGCGGAUGACUUGUGGCUGGGGGUGAAAGGCCAAUCAAACCGGGAGAUAGCUGGUUCUCCCCGAAAGCUAUUUAGGUAGCGCCUCGUGAAUUCAUCUCCGGGGGUAGAGCACUGUUUCGGCAAGGGGGUCAUCCCGACUUACCAACCCGAUGCAAACUGCGAAUACCGGAGAAUGUUAUCACGGGAGACACACGGCGGGUGCUAACGUCCGUCGUGAAGAGGGAAACAACCCAGACCGCCAGCUAAGGUCCCAAAGUCAUGGUUAAGUGGGAAACGAUGUGGGAAGGCCCAGACAGCCAGGAUGUUGGCUUAGAAGCAGCCAUCAUUUAAAGAAAGCGUAAUAGCUCACUGGUCGAGUCGGCCUGCGCGGAAGAUGUAACGGGGCUAAACCAUGCACCGAAGCUGCGGCAGCGACGCUUAUGCGUUGUUGGGUAGGGGAGCGUUCUGUAAGCCUGUGAAGGUGUACUGUGAGGUAUGCUGGAGGUAUCAGAAGUGCGAAUGCUGACAUAAGUAACGAUAAAGCGGGUGAAAAGCCCGCUCGCCGGAAGACCAAGGGUUCCUGUCCAACGUUAAUCGGGGCAGGGUGAGUCGACCCCUAAGGCGAGGCCGAAAGGCGUAGUCGAUGGGAAACAGGUUAAUAUUCCUGUACUUGGUGUUACUGCGAAGGGGGGACGGAGAAGGCUAUGUUGGCCGGGCGACGGUUGUCCCGGUUUAAGCGUGUAGGCUGGUUUUCCAGGCAAAUCCGGAAAAUCAAGGCUGAGGCGUGAUGACGAGGCACUACGGUGCUGAAGCAACAAAUGCCCUGCUUCCAGGAAAAGCCUCUAAGCAUCAGGUAACAUCAAAUCGUACCCCAAACCGACACAGGUGGUCAGGUAGAGAAUACCAAGGCGCUUGAGAGAACUCGGGUGAAGGAACUAGGCAAAAUGGUGCCGUAACUUCGGGAGAAGGCACGCUGAUAUGUAGGUGAAGUCCCUCGCGGAUGGAGCUGAAAUCAGUCGAAGAUACCAGCUGGCUGCAACUGUUUAUUAAAAACACAGCACUGUGCAAACACGAAAGUGGACGUAUACGGUGUGACGCCUGCCCGGUGCCGGAAGGUUAAUUGAUGGGGUUAGCGCAAGCGAAGCUCUUGAUCGAAGCCCCGGUAAACGGCGGCCGUAACUAUAACGGUCCUAAGGUAGCGAAAUUCCUUGUCGGGUAAGUUCCGACCUGCACGAAUGGCGUAAUGAUGGCCAGGCUGUCUCCACCCGAGACUCAGUGAAAUUGAACUCGCUGUGAAGAUGCAGUGUACCCGCGGCAAGACGGAAAGACCCCGUGAACCUUUACUAUAGCUUGACACUGAACAUUGAGCCUUGAUGUGUAGGAUAGGUGGGAGGCUUUGAAGUGUGGACGCCAGUCUGCAUGGAGCCGACCUUGAAAUACCACCCUUUAAUGUUUGAUGUUCUAACGUUGACCCGUAAUCCGGGUUGCGGACAGUGUCUGGUGGGUAGUUUGACUGGGGCGGUCUCCUCCUAAAGAGUAACGGAGGAGCACGAAGGUUGGCUAAUCCUGGUCGGACAUCAGGAGGUUAGUGCAAUGGCAUAAGCCAGCUUGACUGCGAGCGUGACGGCGCGAGCAGGUGCGAAAGCAGGUCAUAGUGAUCCGGUGGUUCUGAAUGGAAGGGCCAUCGCUCAACGGAUAAAAGGUACUCCGGGGAUAACAGGCUGAUACCGCCCAAGAGUUCAUAUCGACGGCGGUGUUUGGCACCUCGAUGUCGGCUCAUCACAUCCUGGGGCUGAAGUAGGUCCCAAGGGUAUGGCUGUUCGCCAUUUAAAGUGGUACGCGAGCUGGGUUUAGAACGUCGUGAGACAGUUCGGUCCCUAUCUGCCGUGGGCGCUGGAGAACUGAGGGGGGCUGCUCCUAGUACGAGAGGACCGGAGUGGACGCAUCACUGGUGUUCGGGUUGUCAUGCCAAUGGCACUGCCCGGUAGCUAAAUGCGGAAGAGAUAAGUGCUGAAAGCAUCUAAGCACGAAACUUGCCCCGAGAUGAGUUCUCCCUGACUCCUUGAGAGUCCUGAAGGAACGUUGAAGACGACGACGUUGAUAGGCCGGGUGUGUAAGCGCAGCGAUGCGUUGAGCUAACCGGUACUAAUGAACCGUGAGGCUUAACCUU